rnacentral:tRNA from 1 species
GCGCCCUUAGCUCAGUUGGAUAGAGCGUCUGGCUACGAACCAGGAGGUCGCAUGUUCGAGUCAUGCAGGGCGCACCA